rnacentral:rRNA from 1 species
ACCUUCGGGCCUCUUGCCAUCAGAUGUGCCCAGAUGGGAUUAGCUUGUUGGUGAGGUAACGGCUCACCAAGGCGACGAUCCCUAGCUGGUCUGAGAGGAUGACCAGCCACACUGGAACUGAGACACGGUCCAGACUCCUACGGGAGGCAGCAGUGGGGAAUAUUGCACAAUGGGCGCAAGCCUGAUGCAGCCAUGCCGCGUGUAUGAAGAAGGCCUUCGGGUUGUAAAGUACUUUCAGCGGGGAGGAAGGUGUUGUGGUUAAUAACCGCAGCAAUUGACGUUACCCGCAGAAGAAGCACCGGCUAACUCCGUGCCAGCAGCCGCGGUAAUACGGAGGGUGCAAGCGUUAAUCGGAAUUACUGGGCGUAAAGCGCACGCAGGCGGUCUGUCAAGUCGGAUGUGAAAUCCCCGGGCUCAACCUGGGAACUGCAUUCGAAACUGGCAGGCUUGAGUCUUGUAGAGGGGGGUAGAA